GAUGAACGCUGGCGGCGUGCCUAAUACAUGCAAGUCGAGCGGACGGACGAGAAGUUUGCUUUUCUGUUGUUAGCCGCGGACGGGUGAGUAACACGUGGAUUACCUCCCUAUAUGACUGGGAUAACUUCGGGACACCGUCGCUAAUCCCGGAUAAUAUUUUUAUCCGUAUGGUUCUAAAGUGAAAUACGGUCUUGCUGUCACUUAUCGAUCUAUCCGCUGUGCAUUAGCUAGUUGGUAAGGUAACGCCUUACCAAGGCAACGAUGCAUAGCCGACCUGAGAGGGUGAGCGGCCAUAAGGGGACGGAGAGACGGUCCAGAAUCCAAAGGGAGGCAGCAGUAGGAAAGCUGCCGGAAGUGGCGAAAGCCUGACGGAGCAACGCAGCGUGAGUGAUGAAGGUCGUCGGAGCGUAAAACGCUGUUAGUAGGGAAGAACAUAUGGGUAAGUAACUGGGCACAUCGUGACGGUACCUAAACAGAAAGCCACGGCUAACUACGUG
rnacentral:rRNA from 1 species